rnacentral:misc_RNA from 1 species
UGAAAUUAAUCCUCUUAUAAUAAAGAUCAGCGGUAGAUCGAAAACAAAAAUAGAUGACGUAUCUAAGGUGAGGCAUAUCAAUCACAAGAGCAAUGCUGCAGUAAAAAAGAAUAAGAAACUGAAUAUGAAACAACCACCCAUCAUUUUUACGCACCGCCCGCCAACAGUAUGCAGUGCCACUUGCAGUUUACUGCACUUUAAGCCUCAUUUUCUGUUAUCACUAAAACAUGACAGCUGCUCAAGCAGCACAACUAAGUUGAUAAUAAUUGGGCUGCAAGGGGAAAAUUUGAAUCCUCACAAUUUACAAAUUCUUUCAUGCUCUCUGAAUUUUCUACCCUAAAAGAGAAGUGGCUCAGAAGCACGGGGCCCUUCCAAUCAAAGAGACUUUACAGAACAAAUAGGAAAGAAAUGUGCCAUCUUUAGUGUUUAAAUAGCAUAUGCUUCCAUGAAGAUCAUGGCCAACAUCUAGGCUAACCAAGCAGGAAACUGAACACAUCACUCAAUGAGAUGAUCCCUUGUACACGCUUGCUACCAGCCUCCACAAUCAAAAGUCUCCUAACACCUGAAAGCAACAAAGAAAUUACUGAAAAUUGUACCUGAAAAGUAUUGCAACUCCAUUUAAUUAAAGUAAACAACAAAUAAAAGGCUAAAUUAGUAUUAGAAGCACCAGGGUUUGCCAAUCGCUCCAUCACUUUGUGUAGAGGAUCGGAUCCUAAACACAUCUGACAUCUCUGUCCAUUGUAGAAUCCAUAUGGUGUAUUUGCAUCUUGUCCCAACUGCAAUGCCUCAUGAAUACUGAUUUCAUCAAGAUGAAUUUGCGCAUAGGCUUUGUCUUUUGCCAAAGCAGUGAUAUCACUAUCAAGAAAAUAACAAAAAGGUGUCACUGGCUUACCUGUACAUCAAUAAACAUGGAGGCAAAGAAAACAAGGAAAUUUACCUUCUUGAGUAUAUGUCCAAGAGUGAAUCAUUGUCAUCCACAAUUGGUAUUGAACUGACUUCAG